CCGAGACAGGGAAAGGAUUCGGGUUUCUGGUUCUUCCAGUUUUAUUGCCUCAGCAUUAGACCUCGAUGUCUCUUUAUAUUUCACACGUAGUUAGGAUUAGGGUCUGUAGCUGUGUAUUCAUUGUUGUUUUAGUUGCUAAGUCGUGUCUGACUCUUUUGCGACCCGAUGGACUGUAGCCCGCCAGUCUGCUCUGUCCGUGGCAUUCGCCAGGUGAGAACACUGGAGUGGGAAGCCAUUCUCUUCUCCAGGGGCUCUUCCCAGCUCAGAGACUGAACCUGUGUCUCCUGAAAUGACAGGCAAAUUAUUUCCCACUGAGCCACGAGGGAAGCUAUCAGUUCCGCCUUAACCUUGUUCAUUAAAAAAGAAAAAGUGGGGCAACUCUUGCUUUCCAGGCCUCAAAACUGCGUUGUGACUUUAUUGGGCAAGACCUAAAAGACAGUCAAAUUUCCCCCAGCACGGCUGAGUAUCCUUGUGCUUUUGGCUACUGGCAUUCUGCAGCAGCUGUCUGAAGGAGAUGGAGAGCUCCAACAGGGAUGGGCCGGAACUCCAGCUGCUGUGAGAGCAGAGAGAUGGAGUGAAUCUGGACCCUUCAUGGUAUCAUGAAACCAUCAAACUCUGAAACAACCUACACUGAGGUUUUAAAAAUGAUUAAAGAAAGUGAGAUUGAGAGACCGUCCUUCCUCAGCUGGUCCAGGAUCAACCACUUCUCCACUCUACAAGCACUACCUAGGGGCAUCUAUGUCUUCAGCAAUAAAGUUGGUUACCAACUUAACGGGCCCAAUUAAUUCAUGAAUGUGUAAAGAAGAAACAAAGAUGGUAGGGUCAGAGGCUUGAAGGGUAUAAAACAAACAGCUUCUUUCAUAAAGGCUCUUGCAGGAGAAAAGCAAAACCCCCUUCAUUCUGAAGUGUCAGGAGAGAAUGUAGUAGCAAAACAGAAAACACAGGCGUGAAUAUGGAUGCAGUUUUCC
ensembl:lncRNA